UACGUAGGAGACGAGCGUUGUCCGGAAUCACUGGGCGUAAAGCGCGUGUAGGCGGAUCGGCAAGUCUGCUGUGAAAGCUCCUGGCUUAACGGACGUGUCGGUGGAAGACUGCCAAUCUGGAGGACGGUAGAGGUAGGUAGAAUUCCCGGUGUAGUGGUGAAAUGCGUAGAGAUCCGGAGGAACACCAGUGGCGCAGGCGGCUCUCGUGGGCCGAUACUGACGCUGAGGAGCGAAAGCGUGGGAGCGAACAGG
rnacentral:rRNA from 1 species